GAAUAUGAUGAUAGUAGAUAUGUCGCCCCAGUCUUAAUUUGCAUCUACUCAAGAUGUAAUGUGGUGAUUGACACUUGAUCUGAUUC